rnacentral:rRNA from 1 species
CCUACGGGCUGCGGCAGUGGGGAAUAUUGGACAAUGGGCGAAAGCCUGAUCCAGCCAUGCCGCGUGUGUGAAGAAGGCCUUCGGGUUGUAAAGCACUUUCAGUGGGGAAGAAAGCCUUGGGGCUAAUACCCUCGAGGAAGGACAUCACCCACAGAAGAAGCACCGGCUAACUCCGUGCCAGCAGCCGCGGUAAUACGGAGGGUGCGAGCGUUAAUCGGAAUUACUGGGCGUAAAGCGCGCGUAGGCGGUCUGAUAAGCCGGUUGUGAAAGCCCCGGGCUCAACCUGGGAACGGCAUCCGGAACUGUCAGGCUAGAGUGCAGGAGAGGAAGGUAGAAUUCCCGGUGUAGCGGUGAAAUGCGCAGAGAUCGGGAGGAAUACCAGUGGCGAAGGCGGCCUUCUGGACUGACACUGACGCUGAGGUGCGAAAGCGUGGGUAGCAAACAGGAUUAGAUACCCCUGUAGUC